ACGAACGCUGGCGGCGCGCCUAACACAUGCAAGUCGAACGGACUUGGGGGGCUUGCUCUCCAAGUUAGUGGCGGACGGGUGAGUAACACGUGAGCAACCUGCCUUUAAGAGGGGGACAACAGCCGGAAACGGCUGCUAAUACCGCAUAACAUUGCGAAACGGCAUCGUUUUGCAAUCAAAGAUUUAUCGCUUAAAGAUGGGCUCGCGCCUGAUUAGAUAGUUGGUGAGGUAACGGCUCACCAAGUCGACGAUCAGUAGCCGGACUGAGAGGUUGAACGGCCACAUUGGGACUGAGACACGGCCCAGACUCCUACGGGAGGCAGCAGUGGGGGAUAUUGCACAAUGGGGGAAACCCCGAUGCAGCGACGCCGCGUGAGGGAAGAAGGUUUUCGGAUUGUAAACCUCUGUCAGGGGGGACGAUAAUGACGGUACCCCUUGAGGAAGCCACGGCUAACUACGUGCCAGCAGCCGCGGUAAUACGUAGGUGGCAAGCGUUGUCCGGAAUUACUGGGUGUAAAGGGAGUGUAGGCGGGAAACUAAGUCAGAUGUGAAAUGCGCAGGCUCAACCUGCGAGCUGCAUUUGAAACUGGUUUUCUUGAGUGAAGUAGAGGCAGGCGGAAUUCCUAGUGUAGCGGUGAAAUGCGUAGAUAUUAGGAGGAACACCGGUGGCGAAGGCGGCUUGCUGGGCUUUUACUGACGCUGAGGCUCGAAAGCGUGGGGAGCAAACAGGAUUAGAUACCCUGGUAGUCCACGCCGUAAACGAUGUUCACUAGGUGUGGGGGGAUUGAACCCUUCCGUGCCGCAGCUAACGCAUUAAGUGAACCACCUGGGGAGUACGUUCGCAAGAAUGAAACUCAAAGGAAUUGACGGGGGCCCGCACAAGCAGUGGAGUAUGUGGUUUAAUUCGAAGCAACGCGAAGAACCUUACCGGGUCUUGACAUGGGGACGACAGGCGUAGAGAUACGCCCUUCUUCGGACGUCCCACACAGGUGGUGCAUGGUUGUCGUCAGCUCGUGUCGUGAGAUGUUGGGUUAAGUCCCGCAACGAGCGCAACCCUUAUUAUUAGUUGCUACGAAAGAGCACUCUAAUGAGACUGCCGUUGGCAAAACGGAGGAAGGUGGGGAUGACGUCAAAUCAUCAUGCCCUUUAUGACCCGGGCUACACACGUACUACAAUGGCGUUUAACAAUGAGUUGCGAAGCGGCGACGCUGAGCGAAUCCCUAAAAAGCGCCUCAGUUCGGAUUGCAGGCUGCAACCCGCCUGUAUGAAGCCGGAAUUGCUAGUAAUCGCGAAUCAGCAUGUCGCGGUGAAUACGUUCCCGGGCCUUGUACACACCGCCCGUCAAACCAUGAGAGUCGGCAACACCCGAAGCCCGUAGCCUAACCGUAAGGAGGGCGCGGUCGAAGGUGGGGUCGAUGAUUAGGGUU
rnacentral:rRNA from 1 species